AUGUCAACAUUUCGAGGCCAGGUAGAGAAAAACAGCUGGCAAAGGAAACAGAGCAAUUUGAGUGCGACUAGCACCGCGUCCGGCAGCGCUAGCCCCACACUCACCCGCACCGUGGCCUCCGUCUCCGAGCUCGCCUGCAUCUACUCGGCCCUCAUUCUGCACGACGAUGAGGUGACCGCCCUGGCCAACGUCAACAUUGGGAGCCUCAUCUGCAGUGUAGGGGCUGGUGGACCUGCUCCAGCAGGAGGUGCUGCACCAGCAGGAGGUCCUGCCCCUCCACUGCUGCUGCUCCAGCUGAGAAGAAAGUGGAAGCAAAGAAAGAAGAAUCCGAGGAGUCUGAUGAUGAUAUGGGCUUUGGUCUUUUUGACUAAACCUCUUUUAUAAUGUGUUCAAUAAAAAGCUGAACUUUA